rnacentral:rRNA from 1 species
ACGGAGGUUGCAAGCGUUGUUCGGAAUCACUGGGCGUAAAGGGAGCGCAGGCGGUUAGGUAAGUUCAAAGUGAAAGCCCGGGGCUUAACCUCGGAAGUGCUUUGGAUACUGCCUUACUCGAGUUCGUGAGAGGAAAGCGGAAUUCCAGGUGACGGGGUGAAAUGCUGAGAUACUGGGAGGAACACCUGAGGGGCAGGCGGGCAACUCGGACGAACCUGCCGGUGCGUCUGGAGAGUGAGGGCAGGGAAUAG